GAUGAAGAACGUAGCGAAAUGCGGUAAGUAAUGUGAAUUGCAGAAUUCAGUGAAUCAUCGAAUCUUUGAACGCACAUUGCGCCCUCUGGUAUUCCGGGGGGCAUGCCUGUUCGAGCGUCAUUAUAACCACUCAAGCUCUCGCUUGGUAUUGGGGUUCGCGGUUCCGCGGCCCCUAAAAUCAGUGGCGGUGCCUGUCGGCUCUACGCGUAGUAAUACUCCUCGCGAUUGAGUCCGGUAGGUCUACUUGCCAGCAACCCCCAAUUUUUACAGGUUGACCUCGGAUCAGGUAGGGAUACCCGCUGAACUUAAGCAUAUCAAUAAGCGGAGGA
rnacentral:misc_RNA from 1 species